GUCUACGGCUAUACCACCCUGACCACGCCCGAUCUCUUUUGAUCUCGGAAGCUAAGCAGGGUCAGGCCUGGUUAGUACUUGAAUGGGAGAAAAUGGCCUCAUUUUACAACUUAGACUAGGAUUCGUUCAUU
rnacentral:rRNA from 1 species